UACAGAGGUCCCGAGCGUUGUUCGGAUUCACUGGGCGUAAAGGGUGCGUAGGUGGUGAGGUAAGUUUGUGGUGAAAGCUCCGGGCCUAACCCGGAAAAUGCCUCGAAUACUAUCUUGCUAGAGGGUUGUAGGGGAGACUGGAAUUCUCGGUGUAGCAGUGAAAUGCGCAGAUAUCAGGAGGAACACCGGUGGCGAAGGCGGGUCUCUGGGCCGAAAUUGACGCUGAGGAGCGAAAGCGUGGGGAGCAAACAGG
rnacentral:rRNA from 1 species